rnacentral:tRNA from 1 species
GCCUUCGUGGUGUAGUGGUUCUGCACGCUGGACUGGUAUUCCAGAGGUCCGUGGUUCGAUUCCCGGCGAAGGCG